rnacentral:rRNA from 1 species
AACGAACGCUGGCGGCAUGCCUAACACAUGCAAGUCGAACGAACCCUUCGGGGUUAGUGGCGCACGGGUGCGUAACGCGUGGGAAUCUGCCCUUUGCUUCGGAAUAACUCAGGGAAACUUGUGCUAAUACCGGAUGAUGUCUUCGGACCAAAGAUUUAUCGGCAAGGGAUGAGCCCGCGUAGGAUUAGGUAGUUGGUGGGGUAAAGGCCUACCAAGCCGACGAUCCUUAGCUGGUCUGAGAGGAUGAUUAGCCACACUGGGACUGAGACACGGCCCAGACUCCUACGGGAGGCAGCAGUGGGGAAUAUUGGACAAUGGGCGCAAGCCUGAUCCAGCAAUGCCGCGUGAGUGAUGAAGGCCCUCGGGUCGUAAAGCUCUUUUACCAGGGAUGAUAAUGACAGUACCUGGAGAAUAAGCUCCGGCUAACUCCGUG